CCACAGGGACCCAUACAAGUGGGCUUGGAAACCAUGGUGCACCAACAACAGGAACCCAUACAAGUGGAUUUGGAACCCGUGGUGCACCAACCACCGGAGCCUUUACACCAACCACAGGGACCCAUACAAGUGGGCUUGGAAACCAUGGUGCACCAACAACAGGAACCCAUACAAGUGGAUUUGGAACCUAUGGUGCAGGGGCUUAUGGUGGAGGUGCAACCACCGGGGAGCUUCGGCGCUCUGGAAGCUCAAGCUCUAGCUCGUCGGAGGAUGAUGGGCAAGGAGGGAGGAGAAAGAAGAAGGGACUGAAGGAUAAAAUAAAAGAGAAGCUACCAGUUGGUGGUGGUAAAGAGCAUUCACGGUCACAGACAACAGGAACUACUACUUCUACUACAACAACUGCUGCGACCCACUACCCUGAGGCGCAUGAGAAGAAGGGCAUAUUGGACAAGAUCAAAGACAAGUUGCCUGGCCACCACCAUUGAUCUCUCUACUCUCUUCAUUUUAUGUGCUUUAUGUUUCUCCCUUUGUUGUUGUCUAGUUUCAGUGUGUUUGUCAUUUGUAUUAUCUUAAGCUACAAAUGAUAUUAAUAAUUACUUCCACUUUUGUU
rnacentral:lncRNA from 1 species